GGGUCAGGAGGUUGGUCGUGCCACCGGUACGUACUGGUCUCACUGAUUCCUCCUUCCUGAAGAACCGUAAUGCCAUUAAUUUGGUGUUGCGGGGAAACAGGACUGUUACUUUGAAAAAAUUAGAGUGUUUAAAGCAAGCUAAUGCUUGAAUACAUUAGCAUGGAAUAAUGAAAUAGGACGAUCGAUCCUAUUUUGUUGGUUUCUAGGAUUGACGUA
rnacentral:rRNA from 1 species